rnacentral:tRNA from 5 species
AGGGGUAUAGCUCAGUUGGUAGAGCGGCGGUCUCCAAAACCGCAGGUCGCGGGUUCGAAUCCUGCUGCCCCUGCCA